rnacentral:rRNA from 1 species
UGAGGAAUAUUGGGCAAUGGAGGCAACUCUGAUCCAGCCAUGCCGCGUGAAGGAAGAAGGCCCUAUGGGUUGUAAACUUCUUUUAUUUGGGAAGAAACCUUUCUACGUGUAGAAAGCUGACGGUACCAAACGAAUAAGGACCGGCUAACUCCGUGCCAGCAGCCGCGGUAAUACGGAGGGUCCAAGCGUUAUCCGGAAUCAUUGGGUUUAAAGGGUCCGCAGGCGGUUUAAUAAGUCAGUGGUGAAAUCUCGGAGCUCAACUCUGAAACUGCCAUUGAUACUGUUAAUCUUGAGUUCAGUUGGAGUAGGCGGAAUGUGUAGUGUAGCGGUGAAAUGCUUAGAUAUUACACAGAACACCGAUAGCGAAGGCAGCUCACUAACCAGAUACUGACGCUGAGGCACGAAAGCGUGGGGAGCGAACAGGAUUAGAUACCCUGGUAGUCCACGCCGUAAACUAUGAUUACUCGAUAUUGGCGAUAUACUGUCAGUGUCUAAGCGAAAGUGAUAA